rnacentral:lncRNA from 10 species
CUCCGGCUUGCCCCACCUGGCUCACCUCCCAGGAGCCACACAUGCAGGCCGCAGCAUAGCAACCGAACAUGGCGGCUGCGCAGGCGCCGCCAGUCAGUGGCCAGGAGCGGCGGCGGCAGCAACAGGAGGCGAUCUCGCGAGAGGCGAGGCCAAAACCCUGCCUCGCUAGCGCAGGGAGAAGUCGCACCAGUCGGAGCGCAGAGGGACACGCAGACAUUUCAGCAGAGGCCUCAAAGGCAGAACAAAAUAGUGCAAGGAGCCGCACAUCCGCACAGUGCUGAGACCCUGCCCAGGACAAGCUUGAUCCUGGCACCCAAGUGACAACCUGCAUUGAAAAGGCGGAACUUGGCUCUCCUGCCCUGCCAGCUGUAAGAGCUUGAAAGCAAAGCUAUGGGGGGAAUGUCUUUCAUUUCCCCCUGGAAGCUGGGAGGACGUUCAGCUUAGCAUUGCCAACUGUGUAAUGUGGACUUGCCUCUAAAAGAAGCCUUUUUCCUUGGAUGUCUUUCAGGCCGCAGUAUUCCCUUUGGCACCCCCACCCACCUGGAACAAAGCCUGAUGUAAAGUCUGGGUGCGACUCAGACCGGCCUGGGAAAGAAUUUAUUUAAUAAAUGGUGGAAAGUGGCUUCCUUGACGUGUCUUCGAUGGCUUUUUUAUAAAGCAUUUGGUUUGUCUACUCGUCUGUUUUUGCGCCAUCUCUUUCCACAAAGAUGGCUUAUAGCAGGGAUACUUACAACAAAAUGAUGCUGGGAAAACAAAAACAAAGAAGUAGAGAAUUAGGCCUGAGAAAACUAGGAGUAGAGAGUCACGAUUAGAUACAGAGGAGCAUAGAUGUGUAGUCUAGGAAGGCCAACUAAUUGUUAUAGCUGAAAUUCAAAUUCAGUUAGCUAAAAUGUUCCUAGUGUCAAAGGAAGAAUGGGCCACACAGUUGCAUAAUCCUUAGUAUUAGGGAGAAGGAAAAGGUUCCAGUUAUUCAGAGGGAUGUUCUCUUGCCUUAUUCCUUUAAUAAGUAUCUGUUAAAGGCCCACCAUGUGCCAAGCACCAUGCCCGGCAAGCACUGCACUCACCCCCCAGGAACUCAGUGUCUAAAGGAGACUGGGUGAAAGAACUAUAUUUGUGUGCCUAUGAUGUGUCAAAUACUAUGCAUUUAGUUAUGCAGUUACUGUAUGUUAGACACUAUGCAUUUAAUUAUUUACCUGCUGUAUAUCAGACACCAUGCAUUUUCAUUUAACCCUCAUAAGCACUUACAUCAAGUAGACACUGUUACCUCUUUUUUACAGAUGAGAAAACAGAGUCUCUUCCCGCAGCUGGUAAGUAUUGAACUUAGGAUUCAAAUCAAGGCCAUUCUCUCUUAUAUAUGGUGCUAGACUGUUGGUGGUCUUUCUAACUUCCAUUAUUUAUUUUCCCUUCCCUUUCUUUUCUUCUUUUCCUUUUCCUUUUUUUUUUUUAGAAACAGGAUCUUGCUCUGUUGCCCAGGCUGGAGUGCUGUGGUACGAUCAUAGCUCACUACAGCCUUUACCUCCUGUUUUCAAGUGAUAUGUCCACGUAUCCCCUCCUAGGUAACUGGGACUACUGGUGUGUGCCACUAUACUGGCUUAUUUUUUCUAACUUUUUGUAGAAAUGGGGUCUUGCUAUGUCGCCCAGGCUGGUCUCAAUUCCUGGCCUGAAACAAUCCUCCCAACGUGGCCUCCCAAAGUGUUGGGAUUACAGGCUUGAGCCACCACAGCUGGCCCCCAGUUCCCUUUCUAACAGAACGUCAGCUUUGUUUAAUUAUUUACCACUCCUCAAAAUAGCUAACAUGGGCCAAGGGUCAAUGACCCCAUUUCUAGGUUCUUGUGGGCAGGAUGGGAAGAUUGAUUAGCCAAUCACAAUAAUCCCCUGUGCUUGGUUUAAGAAUCUGGGCUUAAACCAAUCAUUAUGUGACAUUCUCCUGGUGAUUGUCUUAGGUCUAGGAUGACAUAAGCGGGCACAAUAAGACUGAAGGAAUGGUCAUCAAUUCCAUAUUUUGGGGAAAGGCUCUUCUAUCUCUCUUGCUGGAAAUAGACUAGUAGGUAUGUUGCUGCUGGCAGCCCUUCUGUGACUCUGGACGAGGCUGACUCUUCUGAUACCAACUGUUCUGACACCAACUGGUGUACUGUAAUAUGAUUCCCCAGAUGCAAAUACAAAUACCCGGCGUUAGUGGAGACUCCACACGUUAAAGGGCACGGUCCCCUACAAGACUGUUUCACUUCAAAUGCCAACCACAAGGUGGGGUCUCAGACCACCAGCAUUUCUGACCAGCUGGCUACAAAUCUGGGUGUUCCCACAAUCCCUCUCAGGUUCAAUAAUUUACUAGAAUGACUCACAGAACUCAGGAAAGCCUACAUUAUGAUUAUAGUUUUAUAAUAAAGAAUAUCAAUCAAGAGCAUAGGACAAGACCUAAGAGCUUCUAGAAUGCAGAGCUUCUGGGCUCUCUCCCCAUGGAAUUGGGCCAUAUCACUCUCCCAGUGCAUCAGUGUGUUCAUUAACCAGGAGAUCCACUGAGCUUCAACAUCCAGAGUUUUUAUCAGAGUGCCAUUCCAUUGGCAUGACUGAACAUUGGCCAUGUGGUGGAACUCAAUCUCCAGCUGUCCUUCCCUCCUUGGAGCUCAUGAAUAACAAAAACACUCCUA